UUCUCUGCAGGUGUAGAGUUGGAUUC
rnacentral:piRNA from 1 species